rnacentral:rRNA from 1 species
UACAGAGGUCUCAAGCGUUGUUCGGAUUCAUUGGGCGUAAAGGGUGCGUAGACGGCGCGGUAAGUCGGGUGUGAAAUCUUGGAGCUUAACUCCGAAACUGCAUUCGAUACUGCCGUGCUUGAGGACUGGAGAGGAGACUGGAAUUUACGGUGUAGCGGUGAAAUUCGUAGAUAUUCGCAAGAACACCAGUGGCGAAGGCGGCUCACUGGCCCGGUACUGACGCUGAGGUGCGAAAGCGUGGGGAGCAAACAGG